rnacentral:misc_RNA from 1 species
GAGAGAUUGAAUUGAUUUGUAAAUCUAUAUGAGUAACUGAGAAUUUUCCUUUUCCGCCAUUGGAGCUCAUUUCCAGCUUUCUCUGCUUCUUCAAUUCCACUUCCUCAUCGGUUAUCAGAAACAUGUCAGAAGGCAAGAAGUCGGAGAAUGGCUUUGUUGAGCAAGAUGAGGAUAUCCAUAACUCUCUAACUGAAAAGACUGGCAUUGAUCCAGCGCAAUCUCCAUCACUCACCUGGCAACGAAAAUUAAACCGGGAAGGAAUCCCACUUUGGCAGUUCAGGUUGCACCUGAAAGAGAUAAUUCAUCUGGCUCCGGUAGGGUUUAGGCUAAUCCGCUAUAUCCGAGAAGAAUCUGUCAAAGGAAGGGGGGCUAUGAUAAAUCCUUUUAUCAGACGCCGUAUAACUGAUACUCAUGGCAUUCCUCUAGGUGGCCUUGGAUCAGGAAGCAUUGGAAGAAGUUACCGAGGUGAAUUUCAACGCUGGCAACUAUUCCCUAGAAAAUGUGAAGAUAGGCCAAUUUUAGCAAACCAAUUUUCUGUUUUCGUCUCACGACCGAAUGGGAAGAAGUAUUCUACUGUACUAUGUGCACAAAGCCCUGAAACCCGGAGGGAAGUUGAAGCAUCAGGCAUUGGAUCUUGGGACUGGAAUUUGAAGGGUCAUAGGUCUACAUAUCAUGCUCUGUAUCCUCGAGCUUGGACAAUAUAUGACGGUGAACCGGAUCCAGAACUUAGAAUAGUUUGCCGUCAAAUUUCACCUGUUAUUCCCCAUAAUUAUAAGGAGAGCAGUUACCCUGUCUCAGUUUUUACUUUCAC